GCGGGGGACAUUACUGA
rnacentral:rRNA from 1 species